AGAAAGAGAAGAUUAGUUUGUGUUCUCUCUUCAAAGUGAAGCAGGGGGGCAGACUGAAACAGGGGCAGGUGAGGAAGGGUUUUCUUGGAGAAGAAAGGGAAACCCAAACGGUAUGUCCGCUCCUCUAACCUUUUUCUUUCUUUUGGGAAUUCUUGAACUUGGUUCGUAAAAUUAAUCUGGGAUUUUUGCUUUCUUUUUGGGUACGGUAUAACCUUUUUCAGUUGAUUAGCCAUUAUGUGAUUUGAAUAGAUUCUGUUGUCUAAUCUUGAUUUGGGAGUCCUUCUUAUUUGUGAUUAUGACUUAAAUAUGAUUGAAAUGGUUUUGAACUCAGAGAAAUAUUUCCGGUGAGCCAGAAAUUAUGUUUCUUGGUCUGGGAAAUCUUCUGGUUCAAGAUGAUCCAAAAUCUGGAAUCAUCAUCAUCAAAUCAUACAUGGUUUAGUUUUUUAAAUUGACAGAUUAUUCACCCGAUGAAGGUUUUCUUUCUAAAGUAUGUAUACUACUUUAUUUAGUUUAAUAUGAUUUAUGUAGCAAUGCUUUUUUCAGAAUGCUUCUCUUGCAAAGAAAUUUAUCACACUAUCUUCUUGGUAUUUAUUUCAAUGCUUUUACUAUCCAUUGUAGAAAGUUCCAGAAACUCUAUUCAUAUUGUAGUGAUAACUUGUUGUACCAUCUAGAUUGAGGAACUUCGGAGUUCCCUCUCAUAGGAGUCUAGAGAUGGUAAUUCCUGAAGUCUUCUUAUGCGAGCUUUAUGUUUUAUGAGUACAAGCUUCUUAAAAAAAAA